CCUGCUGGACUUAAACAUAUUCGUCAUCAGGGGAAAAGAAACCAACAAAAAUUCCCUCUAAUAGUGGCGAGUGAAUUGGGAAAAACCUAGUGCUGAAUCCUUGCCCAGUGGUCAGGAGUGGAAAAUGUGACAUAUGGAAGACUCACUCCCUAGUGCAGCUCAGGCCCAAGUGCUGAUGGAGAAUGUGAACAGUGUGAGAGCGGUAGCAGGCCUGAGGGACCAAGCCCGGAUCUUCCUGGAGUUGGGUUCCAUGGGAAUGCAGUUUAAAGUGGGUGGUAAACUCCAUCCAGGGCUAAAUACAAACCCAAGACAGAUAGUCAACAAGUACCAUAUGGAAAAGUUGGAAAAGCUUUGUAGAGAGGGCAAAAGGGGGCCAAAUUAGCCUUUAUAACAAAG
rnacentral:ncRNA from 1 species